ensembl:lncRNA
AACCCCAUCCGGGGGCUCCACAGACUCAGCAUCCGGUCGGAGGGUAGUUCUGAGUUUGUGCUGAACUUGUAGUUUAUAAAGGCAAACAAAGCCAUCCGAAUACAGCCGAUCACAAUGUCCUACACAGCCAGUGUCGUGUCUACCAUCACGCCAAAAAAGAACUUAUGCAGGACUGCCUGUUAGACACUCGCCCACGUUGGGAAAUAUUGGUCCGGGACGCCUGUCACCCGAUAAUCUCUGUACAGCUUCAAGCCGAGCCCCUGAGGCUUUGGUCCAGUGACUCAGCCGCUUUCAUGGUAACAAAGGCGGCUGGCCAUGUAUGUGGUUUGAUCAUCUUGCCUGGAGUUCGUGCUUGUGAACAUCAAAGUCAGUGUACUUUGGGUCUGAUGAAAGAGGCUAGUCGUACACCCGCUGAACGAAUGUUAAUUUUGACUAGGAACCCUGCCAUUUCGUGAAUUCAUAAGAAAUAAAGAGAUGCACAGUUAG